rnacentral:tRNA from 1 species
GCCGAGAUAGCUCAACGGCAGAGCAGUCGCCUCCUCUCCCCUUCCUCAAAGGCGAUAGAUAUAGGUUCAAAUCCUGUUUUCGGCU